AUGGUAUCAGAUACCGACGACCGGCUUCCUUCUCCGGCUCCGGUCGACGAUCCCGCUUCCGCCGCUAUGGUCGAUGGCCCCAGCUCUCCUCCUCCUCCCCCUUCCGAUGGCCUCGGCGUCCCUGUCGCCGAUGAACCACCACCACCACCUGCCCUGCUCCCAGCCACCCCGGUUGCGGUUGCUCACCCGGCCGUGCGCCCCGUCGCCCCGAUCACCACCGUCGUCUCCUCCUCGGUGUUGCAGACCAUCGACAUUCGCCGCCAUGUCCCUGUCACCCUCGACUUACUGGCCGGCAACUACGCCCAGUGGCGCCGCCACUUCGACACGGCCAUCGGGAUGUUCGGUCUCCGCGACCACGUCGACGCCGAGGCCGUCCCGCGCUUCGACGACCCCGACUGGGCGAUGGCAGACCAUGCUGUGGUGCACUGGCUGAACACCACCGUCGCCCCCGAUCUCCUGGACGCCGUCAUGGCGGCGGACGACACCGCGCUCACCGUCUGGACGGAGAUCAACGGGAUCUUCCGCGACAAUCAGCUCAACCGGGCUGUCUACAUCGACGCUGAAUAUCACGCCGUCGUCCAGGGCGACCUCACCAUCAUGCAAUACUGCACCAAGCUGAAGACGUACGCCGACCAACUCCGCGACCUCGGCCAGCCGGUGACGGAGCCGCGACAGGUUUUCCACCUGCUGCGCGGCCUCAACCGCCAGUACCACGGCGCCAUGCUCACAUCACCGCGCAAUCUCCGCUCCCGUCGCUCCUCCAGACGCGUUCCUUCCUCCUCCUUGAAGAACACCGCGCUGAGCAGACGGCACGCCUCCAGGGCACACAUGCCCUCGUUGCCGGCCGUGGCGCCGCGACGCCACUUCCCUCGGCCCCAGCUGCGCCCCCCGCGGUGCCUGACUCCUCUGGUCGCGUGCGUGGUGGCCGUGGCCGCCACCGCGGCCGUGGCAAUGGCACUGGCGGUGCGCCUUCGCCGCAGCCGCCGCCCUGCGUCCCCGGCUUGCCCGCUCCCGCGCCCGGCACCAACUCCUGGACCGGGCUCGUUCAGGCGUGGCCCAUGCCCUGGCGCGCCCCCGGUACCGGCGUGCUCGGUCCUCGCCCUGGGACUCCGCCUCAACAGGCCAUGUACGCCGCUUCCGUGCCGCCCCUCCUCGUCGGUUACGGCUACGGUGGCUACGCUCCUGCUGGGUACGUUCCCGGCUACGCUCCACCGCCUCCUGGUGCGCCCCAACAGCCCCUCGACAUGGCCUCUCUCCAGGCUGCGCUUCACAGCGCCACGGCAGGGCCGUCGUCCUCCGGCAGCUCCGACUGGUACAUGGACUCCGGCGCGGCCGCCCACAUGA
rnacentral:rRNA from 1 species